CCUACGGGUGGCAGCAGUGAGGAAUAUUGGUCAAUGGCCGCGAGCCUGAACCAGCCAAGUCGCGUGAGGGAAGACGGUCCUAUGGAUUGUAAACCUCUUUUGUCGGGGAGUAAAAGUCUCCACGCGUGGCGUUCCGAGUGUACCCUAAGAAAAAGCAUCGGCUAACUCCGUGCCAGCAGCCGCGGUAAUACGGAGGAUGCGAGCGUUAUCCGGAUUUAUUGGGUUUAAAGGGUGCGCAGGCGGGUGAUUAAGUCAGCGGUGAAAGUUAGAGGCUCAACCACUUAAUUGCCGGUGAACUGGGAAGACUGGAGUGGGUUUGAGGUAGGCGGAAUGCGUGGGGGAGAGGUGAAAGGCAUAGAGAGCACGCAGAACUCAGAUUGCGAAGGGAGCUUACGAAGCCAGAACUGAAACUGAAGCACGAAAGCGUGGGGAUCAAACAGGAGUAGAUACCCGGGUAGUG
rnacentral:rRNA from 1 species